GCCCAGACUCCUACGGGAGGCAGCAGUGAGGAAUAUUGGUCAAUGGCCGGAAGGCUGAACCAGCCAAGCCGCGUGAAGGACGAAGGUGCCAAGCAUUGUAAACCUCUUUUGUCAAGGGACAAAAUCAGGCUCGAGAGCCUGACCGAGGGUACUUGAAGAAAAAGCAUCGGCUAACUCCGUGCCAGCAGCCGCGGUAAUACGGAGGAUGCGAGCGUUAUCCGGAUUUAUUGGGUUUAAAGGGUGCGUAGGCGGAUUGUUAAGUCGGCGGUAAAAGCCCGGGGCUCACCCCCGGCGAGCCGUUGAAACUGGCGGCCUCGAGUGGGCGAGAAGUAUGCGGAAUGCGUGGUGUAGCGGUGAAAUGCAUAGAUAUCACGCAGAACUCCGAUUGCGAAGGCAGCAUACCGGCGCCCUACUGACGCUGAGGCACGAAAGCGUGGGUAUUGAACAGGAUUAGAUACCCUGGUACG
rnacentral:rRNA from 1 species